GCUCAAAUUAAUCAAUAUGAGUAUACUCCCUGUGGACUCAGGAGCACCCCAUGUUGCAUUUCAAAGCAAUGAAAUAUGUAUUUCCUCUAAUGGGAUACUGACAAAUGUUUUUUAAAACUCUUAGAGUGUUUCUCAUGUGCAGCCAUCUUUUGUGGUGACAUGGAGCACCUGUGCAGACCCUCAGUAGAAUCUGCACACUGGGCCCCAGGCGCGCCAGGAUGGGGCUCAGGGGUUGGUGGGUCCGGCGGCUGUAAAGGAACAGGGUGGAGGUCCCAGGUUGAAAAAUUGUAAAAUUAUAAGUUUACAGCUAUAUAAUUUAAGUACUUCAGUCAUCAUGUCUUUUUCUUUUUACAAAGUCAAUUUUCCUACAUAACUCCAAAUUUUUUUCACACCAUCUAAGUAAUAUUUUAAUAUUUUCCAUAUCCAAUCCGUAUUCAAAUUUCCCCAAUUGCCUCCAAAUGACUUAUGAAAAAAAAUGCUAUUUUAAUCGGGAGCCAAUAGCGGAUUACCCUUUGCAUUUGACAGCAGAGUUCAGGCUUAACCCUUAACCUCUUCAGGCUCGGAGGACCCUGGGCAGGAGAGAUUUAAGAACACCGUCCUCCCGCUUUCGCGGAAAGGCCAAGAGUGACUUGAAAUGUAGGCGCGGAGGCCUAUGGGAAAUGUAGUUUUAAAUAGGUGAGGUUCACCGCCUGGACUCUGGGAAGGGGACGCCACGCUCCUUCUGCGCAUGUGCAGCCGUAGCCUCCUCGUUCGUCUUCUCAGGACUCCAGAGAACCGUUGGGGAACUUUGGGGUGUGCUCGGAAAAUGCAGGAGCUUCAGAGCAGAGACAAGAGCCCAGAAAGGAGCAGAUGCUAGAUUUGCAAGAUCAGAAGCAGGUCUUGAUCCUCCUGCCCAGAAUGAACCAGACUUGAUGAUGAUGCCACCUUCAGGAGCCACCACACUGUGUGACAGUGGGGCAUUUGGGCCGUCCCUGGAAGUACAGGUGAGCUGGGGUGGCCCA
rnacentral:lncRNA from 1 species